rnacentral:rRNA from 1 species
GGGUCAGUAGGUUGGUCGUGCCACCGGUACGUACUGGUCUCACUGAUUCCUCCUUCCUGAAGAACCGUAAUGCCGUUAAUUUGGUGUUGCGGGGAAACAGGACUGUUACUUUGAAAAAAUUAGAGUGUUUAAAGCAAGCUAACGCUUGAAUACAUUAGCAUGGAAUAAUGAAAUAGGGCGUUCGAUCCUAUUUUGUUGGUUUCUAGGAUUGACGUA